rnacentral:rRNA from 1 species
CGAUACGAGUUUGAUCCUGGCUCAGGAUGAACGCUAGCGGCAGGCUUAAUACAUGCAAGUCAAGGGGGUAGCAAUACAACCGGCGCACGGGUGAGUAACGCGUACACAACAUACCAUAUACUGGGGUAUAGCUUCGGGAAACUGGAGAUAAUCCCCCAUAACAUUGCGAGAGGGCAUCUGAUUGCAAUUAAAGUUUCGACGGUAUAUGAUUGGUGUGCGUUUGAUUAGCUUGUUGGUAGGGUAACGGCCUACCAAGGCGACGAUCAAUAGCUGGCGUGAGAGCGCGACCAGCCACACUGGAACUGAGACACGGUCCAGACUCCUACGGGAGGCAGCAGUACGGGAAUAUUGGACAAUGGGCGAAAGCCUGAUCCAGCCAUGCCGCGUGAUAGAUGAAGGCCCUCUGGGUUGUAAAUAUCUUUUAUCUGGGAAGAAACUCCUCUAUUCUUAGAGGCCUGACGGUACCAGAGGAAUAAGCACCGGCUAACUCCGUG